CCCGCCUGGGGUCCCGGGGAGCGGGGCCGACCGUGGCACCGCGCGCUGGCACCAGCCCCGGGCACAGGCUCUGGGCACCGCCCUCCCUCCCCCCCAGCCCCGGGGCUCUGGCCCCGCUCGCUCCCCUGCCCCGGCCCACCGUGCCCGUCCUGCACGUUCUGCCCGCGGGGCCGCAGGACCCCUCUAGAGCUGUUCGUGCCCAGCGUGGGCACUGCCACUGCCAGCCUGUGUGUGGGGAGCCUGCGGUGACUUCAGUGCCCCUCCUGCAACACAAGGCCUCCUCCUCUCCUGGCUGCUGCACCUGUGCAAAACUGGUAUCACCUGAAGUAUCCCUGAAUGUCACGCUGUUCUGCAAAGGCUCCAGCAGCCCUGUAGGCUCUCUGGAUGGUAUUGACUCUGAACUCGGGUUUAACCGCUUCUGUCGAAGAAUCCUGAAGAUCCCAGGAUUUCUGAGAAGUCUUGCCCUUCUGUUUUUUUCCUUUGAGAAGAAGCUUAUUUAGCACAAUGGAAGUAUCAUUACCUUGGUGUCAGACAUGGAAGAAAAUGACACAAGAAGAGACAAGAGCCCCUCCUGUCAGGUGCAAGGAACUGCUCCUGCAGCAAACAAACACCACUGGAACAAGAGGCAGAGAGAGACUCGCACAUAGAGAAUUUGGGAGCAUACAAUCAGAAUAAGAUCAAGAAUCACUGAAGAGACCAUGUGUGCUUCUUUUUUGAGAACAACAUUCUACUGUCAAUGGAGGAUCGAGUCUCUAGGCAGCCACCUAGGUGAGGGCUGCCCAUAUGCCAGCGUGACUCUGCAUCUACUUCCCGUUAGAGGAACAGCAGUUCAGACUUCGCUCGGCACUCGUCAUGAGCCUCGUCUCCUGUUUUGCCAGGGGAAGGAGGGGGCAGGGUGAGUGUCGUGGCCGUGCAGCCAGAGCCGCACCGCGUCAGCCAGACGUGAACGGUGCAGGAGGCAGAGCUAGCAGCAGAGAACUGAGGCAGGCGGGGAGGCUGGGGGGUGAGAUAGAGAAGAUUGGGGGUUGCUCAGCCCCCUGAAAAUCAGAACGGCUGAUCUCUAUCUCUGUGUGCUUCGCUGGUUUGCUUGCUUUAAAAAACAUCACAUACUUGGUACUGACACCUAUAGCUAAGGUUACUUGAUAUUUUCCAUCACAAGUCUGUUUUCAGUUACUCAGAACUUUGCCAGUCAUCAGAUAUUCAGAUUUGAAUUUUCCACGUUUAUUUUCACUUUUUUUCCCCCUGAAGAUGGAGGCACUUAGUAAGAUGUAAAAAACAAAUGUUAUUUUGAAAUUAUAAAAUUUUAACUUUGACACA